rnacentral:rRNA from 1 species
GACAGAGGGUGCAAACGUUGUUCGGAAUUACUGGGCGUAAAGCGCGUGUAGGCUGCUCCGCAAGUCGGGUGUGAAAGCCCUGGGCUCAACCCAGGAAGUGCACUCGAAACUGCGGAGCUCGAGUCCUGGAGAGGAAGGCGGAAUUCUCGGUGUAGAGGUGAAAUUCGUAGAUAUCGAGAGGAACACCUGUGGCGAAGGCGGCCUUCUGGACAGUGACUGACGCUGAGACGCGAAAGCGUGGGGAGCAAACAGG